UCCCCCUUCCUCUCCUCCACAGAUACCGCCGCUGUAAUCUUUUGCCGAGAGAAAGAAAAAGAGAUCUAGAGAGAAAACAAGAGAUCGAGGGAGAAAAAGAUAGAUAAAGUUUGAUUCGAACCACUGAUGGUGGUUGAUUAGGGUUUUGGUUUAAAUCUGGAUCUAUGUUCCAACCAAGAAGAAAAGGGGGAUUUUGCUGUUUUAGAUUGCGGAAUACAACUGAAUCAAAGAUAGGGUGUUUACGAAUUGGAAGAAUAAAUAAUUAAUUGAAGACGGUAAUGAACCUGCUGUUGUUGAAUAGAAGAUGGGUAUUUGUUAAUUGAGGUUGGAUGAUGAAUAGAGGGCCAGGGAAGAAGAGGAUGCAGAAAUUGAUCUCUGUUGAGGUUGAAAUAAUGAGUUGGUCUUCUUGAGGAUAAAAAGGUCUGAUUCGAAAUGGUUUUUUGGGUUGAAUCUGGAAGAGGUAGCAGUGAGAGUUUGAUGAUGGGGAUUUAUGAGAUUUCAUUAAACACCGAUUCAGGGUUUAAUGGGUUUGAGAGAUUCAUGAAGUUUUCGGAGAAGCUGAUUGUUGAAGAUUGCUGGUGAUUAGAACUGGAUGAAUUUGUGUUGCUCUGGAGCAGUAUUGAGAAACCAUUGCAGUUGUAGAUGAAAAUGAUAUUGCAGAUUAUGGAUGGAAUUGUAGGUGACUCAAAGACGCUGGUGGUUUGCAGUUGAGCAUGGGAAAGCAACAUGAAGAAUGGGAUCUCGCUGCAAUUGAAGAUCGAUGUGUUGCUUCUGCUAGAAAAAAAGUUUGGUUUGGAGGAGAAUAAGUUAGGUUUUUGAUGAAAUUGAAUUCACAGAGAGGAGUUGAUGGUUCGAUAUGUGAUGGGUUUUGUUGAUUUUUUGAAGAUGAACUCGAGAAUGAAUUUGUGAUGGGAAAUAGGAAUUAGGGUUCUGAACUGAGUUGAUGUUGGAGCUGCUGGAGAAGGAAAUUGGUAUUGCAGAAAUAGGAAUUUGUGAUGGAUUCGGAGAUGAUGAGAUUAAAUGAAGAAGUUAUGCUAGAAGAAACUCAAAGUUUCUAUCCAUGAUUUGUAGAAGAUGGGUUCGAAUUAAUAGAGGUUUUGAAGAAAUGGUGGGCACCGUUCAACCAAGGAAAGAAAUUGGUUGAGUCUCUAAUGGGAUUUGAACGGAGUUUCAGCAAGAAAAAGGAUGUUAUCUGCUGUAAAUUAUUAGGGGUUUUACUGAGAAGAACAAGAUUGAGAGUUUGUGAGAAAAUUGAGUACUAAUCUUUGUUCGAGUUUUUCAGAAAAGUACUAAAGAUGCAGAAGUAGAGAAGGGUGUUCCUGAUUUUUGGCUCAAUGCUGUGAAGACAAAUGAAGUUUUAAUGGAGGAGAUCACAGAGCGUGACGAAGGUGCUCUCAAGUAUCUGAAAGAUAUCAAUUGGUGCAGGAUUGAAGAGCUCAAGGGAUUCAAUUCAAGUCUUUUUGUUUAGAUAUUGAUCUUAGAUGCUCCUCCAGCUCUUCAGAAGCUAAGAGAGAACUUUCCUAGGUAAAAUUUAGUCACUUGUUUUAUGUGUUACUGUAAUUCUGCGUAAUUCUCUUCCUUCCAGACUGAAUAAAUGUUUUUAUUCAUGAAAUUUUUAAGCUUUAUGUGUACACUGGGACAAUCGACCCCACGGUAAAUGAGAAGAGGUAAUUUUCUCACUGGGAAUAUACAAUAAUUGAAGAAUAAAUGAUCAUUGGCUUAAACCUUCUAAAAUUCGAGAUGACGUCUUCUAUUUUGCAGGUUUAUAAUUCCUAGAUUCGGAGAGCAGGAGACCGUAGAUUUGGAACAUAAAACA